AGGACCAGGACAUCUGAACCCCAGUAAAAGCAUAGACACAUCCGUGUAGACAAAACGAGAACCUGAGGUGUGACUGUGAAUGACAAAAACACAACUUUUCCCAUGAAGUGGGUUAUGUUGGCUCAAUCCUGAACAAUACAUCCUAUUUUGUGAUGGUUCCUACCCCUUCUCAAGGCCACUGCAGGAAAAUGGUCCACAGAUCCAUUUUGUUCCACAGUCUGGACUUCUAGAUUGUCCCACACAUUCCAUGAAGUAUUAUGAGGGAAGACGGUCCCUUUCAGAUGUCAUAUUGUGCUUUGGUCAUUGAGCUGGCAAGGAUGUUGGGAAAUGCAGACAGGGUUAAAAAUUUCCAGCCUGAAGUCCUGUGGCCACAAUCUAUUUCAACUGACCUAUCCUUUACCCAGGAAAUUCCUUUUUCUUUUUCAUUACAAAACAGUGAUAUUCUCCAAGACAAAGUCUAUUACACAAUAUAAUUUAUUUAUUUAUUUUUUUCAUCUUUCUCCUUCUCCAUCUUUCCCUUCUCAAAUUCCUAAAGAAGAGAGGACUUUCAGAAGUGGGGAUAUUAGCAAGACUCCUAAGAUCUCUAGGCUACUAUUUUCCAUUUUCUUCAGCAGCUGUUACUACUUCCAGAUGAGAGAAAUUAAUUUUGGAUAUACUUCAACCAUCAAAGAAGCUGUGAGUCUAUACAGGUAUCUCUAUAAGAAUUAACCUCAGCUGCCACGUGCACUUUGGAAGCGCAAGGCACAACAGAGGACGGUACAGAGAGCUCUAUCUGAAAGCAGAAGGGGAAUAAAAGCUUGAAAGAUGUUGAAAUAUUUUGUGGCCACCUCCGCUUUGCAUCUCACCCACAACGUGACCUCUGGAUGUACACAGCUUCCACGCAGUGAGCUUGUCCUGCCCAUCAUCAUAUCAGUGAGGGGUGUGAGUGCUGUGGCCAUGACUGAAGUCAUCAAAAGCUGGAGCUCCAGUAUGUCAGCAUUUCUUAUUGUACACAUUAUGUAAGCAUAACACAUAUACACACACACACACACAAAA